AGCAGCCGCGGUAAUUCCAGCUCCAAUAGCGUAUAUUAAAGUUGUUGCAGUUAAAAAGCUCGUAGUUGAAUUUCGGGGUCAGUAGUUUGGUCGUGCCAACGGUAUGUACUGGGCUCACUGAUUCCUCCUUCCUGAUGAACUGUAAUGCCAUUAAUUUGGUGUUGCAGGGAAACUGGACUGUUACUUUGAAAAAUUAGAGUGUUUAAAGCAAGCUAACGCUUGAAUACAUUAGCAUGGAAUAAUGAAAUAGGACGUUCGAUCCUAUUUUGUUGGUUUCUAGGAUUGACGUAAUGAUUAAUAGGGAUAGUUGGGGGCAUUAGUAUUCAAUUGUCAGAGGUGAAAUUCUUGGAUUUAUUGAAGACUAACUACUGCGAAAGCAUUUGCCAAGGAUGUUUUCAUUAAUCAAGAACGAAAGUUAGGGGAUCGAAGACGAUCAGAUACCGUCGUAGUCUUAACCAUAAACUAUGCCGACUAGGGAUCGGAUGAUGUUAAUUUUUUAAUGUACUCAUUCGGCGCCUUA
rnacentral:rRNA from 1 species